UGGGGAAUAUUGGACAAUGGGGGCAGCCCUGAUCCAGCCAUGCCGCGUGCGUGAAGAAGGCCUUAGGGUUGUAAAGCGCUUUCAGCGGGGACGAUGAUGACGGUACCCGCAGAAGAAGCCCCGGCUAACUCCGUGCCAGCAGCCGCGGUAAUACGGAGGGGGCAAGCGUUGUUCGGAAUUACUGGGCGUAAAGGGCGCGUAGGCGGGCGAUCAAGUCAGGGGUGAAAGGCCUGGGCUCAACCUAGGAACUGCCUUUGAAACUGAACGUCUUGAGUCCGGGAGAGGAUAGCGGAAUUCCCAGUGUAGAGGUGAAAUUCGUAGAUAUUGGGAAGAACACCGGUGGCGAAGGCGGCUAUCUGGACCGGCACUGACGCUGAGGCGCGAAAGCGUGGGGAGCAAACAGGAUUAGAUACCCGCGUAGUCC
rnacentral:rRNA from 1 species